GAUGAACGCUAGCGGCAGGCUUAACACAUGCAAGUCGAGGGGCAGCGUGGAGCAGCAAUGCUCUGACGGCGACCGGCGGAAGGGUGCGUAACACGUGAGCGACUUGCCCGUCACAGGGGGAUAACCGGCGGAAACGGCGACUAAUACCCCAUACGAUGUGAUGCUGCAUGGCAUUGCAUUGAAAGACUUCAUCGGUGGCGGAUAGGCUCGCGGGACAUUAGCUAGACGGCGGGGCAACGGCCCACCGUGGCGACGAUGUCUAGGGGUUCUGAGAGGAAGGCCCCCCACACUGGGACUGAGACACGGCCCAGACUCCUACGGGAGGCAGCAGUGAGGAAUAUUGGUCAAUGGGCGGAAGCCUGAACCAGCCAUGCCGCGUGAAGGACUAAGGCCCUACGGGUCGUAAACUUCUUUAGACGCAGAGCAAUAAGGUCCACGCGUGGACCGAUGAGAGUAUGCGUAGAUAAGCAUCGGCUAAC
rnacentral:rRNA from 1 species